rnacentral:rRNA from 1 species
GACGAACGCUGGCGGCGUGCUUAACACAUGCAAGUCGAACGGAAAGGCCCUGCUUUUGUUGGUUUCUCGAUUGGCGCACGGGUGAGUAACACGUGAGUAUCCUGCCCCUGUCUUUGGGAUAUCUUCACGAAACUGCGGCUCUUACCGCAUAGGAGCUCCUGCUGCAUGUUGGUCGUUGGAAAGUUUCGGCGGUUCGGGAUCGUCUCGCGGGUUAUCAGCUUGUUUGUGGGGUAGUGGCUUACCAAGGCUUUGACGGGUAGCCGGCCUGAGAGGGUGACCGGGCACAAGGGGACUGAGAUACGGACCAGACGGCUACGGGAGGCAGCAGGGGGGAAUAUUGCACAAUGGGCGGGAGCCUGAUGCAGAAACGCCGCGUGCGGGAUGACGGGCUUCGGGGUGUGAACCGAUGUCGCAGGUGACGAAGCGUGAGUGACGGUAAUGGGUAAAGAAGCACCGGCUAACUACGUG